rnacentral:rRNA from 1 species
CAGAGGGCGUGAACCGCCAAGAAGGAAGCGGAUAGAGUCGACGAAACUUGACGGCAUUCAGCCGAUGUGAGCUGCUACCUCGUCACAUUUAGAUGAUCCUUGAUUAGGGCAGAGUGACGAUGGUCGGCCGCCACUUUGGUGCUUUUGCCGUCGGUAUGCGCCGAAUGGUCGGCUGCCGUGAGGUGAAGCAAUUUGCGUGGACCACGUGCUUGCACGUGGGCACCUGCUUUUUGAGGACUCCUUAAUGGCGGCGGUGAAGUGUGUCCGCACGCGUCGGUGCACCCUACUUGUACGCGAUUGUUGCGUCGAUGAUCCGUCGCUUGCGACUGGACGUAGGACGGAGCGUUGUGUUGAGCUUGGGUGCGUCAGCGGCACGAAUUCGGUGUCAACGUUGAUCACCUACCCGACCCGUCUUGAAACACGGACCAAGGAGUCUAGCAUGUAUGCGAGUUAUUAGUCGGUAACGCAAAAAGCGAAAUGAAAGUGAAGGCGGCAUUAAGCCGCUAGAUAUGGGAUCCGCGAUGUCACGGCGUCGUGGCGCACCAUAACCCCGUCCUCACUGCUUGCAAUGGGGCGGAGGCAGAGCGUAUAUGCUGGUACCCGAAAGAUGGUGAACUAUGCCUGAGCAGGAUGAAGCCAGAGGAAACUCUGGUGGACGUCCGAAGCGGUUCUGACGUGCAAAUCGAUCGUCUGACUUGGGUAUAGGGGCGAAAGACUAAUCGAACCAUCUAGUAGCUGGGUUUCCUUCCCGAAAA